rnacentral:rRNA from 1 species
CCUACGGGUGGCAGCAGUGGGGAAUAUUGCACAAUGGGGGGAACUCUGAUGCAGCGACGCCGCGUGGGUGAAGGAGUACUUCGGUACGUAAAGCUCUAUCAGCAGGUAAGAAAAAGACGGUACUUGCCUAAGACGCCACGGCUAACUACGUGCCAGCAGCGGCGGGAAUACGUAGGGGGCAGGCGUUAUCCGGAUUUAUUGGGGGGAAAGGGAGCGUAGGCGGGAGCACAAGACUGGAGUGAAAUGCCGGGGCUUAACCACGGGUGUGCGUUGGAAACUGUGCAGCUAGAGUGCAGGAGGGGUGAGUGGAAUUCCUAGUGUAGCGGUGAAAUGCGUAGAUAUUAGGAGGAACACCAGUGGCGAAGGCGGCUUACUGGACUGUAACUGACGCUGAGGCUCGAAAGCGUGGGGAGCAAACAGGAUUAGAUACCCGUGUAGUC